GUUUGGGUCAGCUUCUUCAGUGCCUCCUUUAGCUCCUUGUUCCUCAUGAUGUAGAUGAGGGUUUCACUGCUGGAGGCAACACUGAGUACAGAAC